UACGUAGGUGGCAAGCGUUUGUCCGGAUUUACUGGGCGUAAAGGAUGCGUAGGCGGACAUUUAAGUCAGAUGUGAAAUACCCGAGCUUAACUUGGGUGCUGCAUUUGAAACUGGGUGUCUAGAGUGCAGGAGAGGUAAGUGGAAUUCCUAGUGUAGCGGUGAAAUGCGUAGAGAUUAGGAAGAACACCAGUGGCGAAGGCGACUUACUGGACUGU
rnacentral:rRNA from 1 species